rnacentral:rRNA from 1 species
CCACCAGACUCCUACGGGAGGCAGCAGUGGGGAAUAUUGCACAAUGGGGGAAACCCUGAUGCAGCGACGCCGCGUGAGUGAAGAAGUAAUUCGUUCUGUAAAGCUCUAUCAGCAGGGAAGAAAAUGACGGUACCUGAGUAAGAAGCCCCGGCUAACUACGUGCCAGCAGCCGCGGUAAUACGUAGGGGGCAAGCGUUAUCCGGAUUUACUGGGUGUAAAGGGAGCGUAGACGGCAGUGCAAGUCCGGAGUGAAAGCCCGGGGCUCAACCCUGGGACUGCUCUGGAAACUGUAAAGCUGGAGUGCGGGAGGGGCAGGCGGAAUUCCUGGUGUAGCGGUGAAAUGCGUAGAUAUCAGGAGGAACACCGGCGGCGAAGGCGGCCUGCUGGACCGUAACUGACGUUGAGGCUCGAAAGCGUGGGGAGCAAACAGGAUUAGAUACCCCCGUA